rnacentral:rRNA from 1 species
CAAUAGCGUAUAUUAAAGUUGUUGCGGUUAAAAAGCUCGUAGUUGGAUUUCUGCCGAGGACGACCGGUCCGCCCUCUGGGUGUGUAUCUGGUUUGGCCUGGGCAUCUUCUUGGAGAACGUAGCUGCACUUGACUGUGUGGUGCGGUGUCCAGGACUUUUACUUUGAGGAAAUUAGAGUGUUUCAAGCAGGCACACGCCUUGAAUACAUUAGCAUGGAAUAAUAAGAUAGGACCUCGGUUCUAUUUUGUUGGUUUCUAGAGCUGAGGUAAUGAUUAAUAGGGAUAGUUGGGGGCAUUCGUACUCAGCAGUCAGAGGUGAAAUUCUUGGAUUUGCUGAAGACGGACUAGUGCGAAAGCAUUUGCCAAGGAUGUUUUCAUUAA